UAUGAUCCAGAGUACCACGGGACACGUGAAACCCUGUGGGAAGCAGGAGGGACCACCCUCCAAGGCUAAAUACUACCUAGUGACCGAUAGCGUAUAGUACCGUGAGGGAAAGGUGAAAAGAACCCCGGGAGGGGAGGGAAAUAGAACCUGAAACCCUGCACUUACAAGCUGUGGAAGCACAUUUCUUGUGUGACCGCGUACUUUUUGUAGAACGGGCCAACGAGUUACGUUAAG
rnacentral:rRNA from 1 species